rnacentral:rRNA from 1 species
AUACGUAGGUGACAAGCGUUAUCCGGAUUUACUGGGCGUAAAGGGCGUGUAGGCGGUCUUGCAAGUCAGAAGUGAAAUUCCUGAGCUCAACUCGGGCGCUGCUUCUGAAACUGCAGGACUUGAGUGCUGGAGGGGAUAGCGGAAUUCCUAGUGGAGCGGUAAAAUGCGCAGAUAUUAGGAAGAACACCGGUGGCGAAGGCUGCUUUGGGAAACGGAAGUGGCGCUGAGGCGCGAAAGCGUGGGGAGCGAACAGGAGUAGAUCCCCUGUUAGUCCACCCCGUAAACGAUGGGUGCUAGGUGUGGGGGGUUUCAACUCCCUCCGUGCCGAAGCUAACGCAAUAAGCACCCCGCCGGGGGAGUACGGCCUCAAGGCUAAAACUCAAAUGAAUUGACGU